GGAGGAAAGCAGGGGAUCGCAAGACCUUGCGCUUUUGGAGCGGCCGAUGUCUGAUUAGCUAGUUGGUGAGGUAAAGGCUUACCAAGGCGUCGAUCAGUAGCUGGUCUGAGAGGACGACCAGCCACACUGGGACUGAGACACGGCCCAGACUCCUACGGGAGGCAGCAGUGGGGAAUUUUGGACAAUGGGGGAAACCCUGAUCCAGCCAUGCCGCGUGAGUGAAGAAGGCCUUCGGGUUGUAAAGCUCUUUCAGCCGGAACGAAACGGUCACAGCUAAUACCUGUGAUCACUGACGGUACCGGAAGAAGAAGCACCGGCUAACUACGUGCCAGCAGCCGCGGUAAUACGUAGGGUGCAAGCGUUAAUCGGAAUUACUGGGCGUAAAGCGUGCGCAGGCGGUUUUGUAAGUCAGAUGUGAAAUCCCCGGGCUUAACCUGGGAACUGCGUUUGAAACUACAAAGCUAG
rnacentral:rRNA from 1 species